UACGGGGGGGGCAAGCGUUGUUCGGAAUUACUGGGCGUAAAGGGCUCGUAGGCGGCCAACUAAGUCAGACGUGAAAUCCCUCGGCUUAACCGGGGAACUGCGUCUGAUACUGGAUGGCUUGAGUUUGGGAGAGGGAUGCGGAAUUCCAGGUGUAGCGGUGAAAUGCGUAGAUAUCUGGAGGAACACCGGUGGCGAAGGCGGCAUCCUGGACCAACACUGACGCUGAACGGCGAAAGCUAGGGAGCAAACGGG
rnacentral:rRNA from 1 species